GUCAGAGUUUAUUUCAUCGGCUAACAUUCAUUCUCGACCUAGACAAAAACAAUUAGAUGAUUAUGACUUGCUUUUCCAUCAUCAACUCAUUUUUUUUUGUUAUGAAUAACCAAAACAUUUCUUCUCAACACUUUUUUUUAAGAAGCUAUAAAUAAAUAAAGCUUUAAACGAUCCUGGGUUCAAGUUAAACAGUUCCAGUUCCCGAAAAGUUCACAGCCUUGUUUCGUGGGCAGUUCUGCUGUUCCUGGCUUCCCCCUCCAGGAAGGGACGUUUGCAGGCCUGGGGGUCCUGGUGACUAAGCUGUUAGCUCCACUGCCUGCCUGCUUCCGUCCUCGCAGCCCUGGGAGGGCCCUGGGGGACAGAGUUCUUACAAUUUAGGAGAUGCUGCUGGCCAAGGAACCGUUGACCCAAAGCAGGUGGCCUGAACGGGAAGUGCCAGGCUGGAGACUCAGGGGCUGAGGGCACUGCCAGUUGCCACCACCUCGGGACACCUCAGCCCGGCGCGGGCCGAGACUGCUUUCCAAACGCAGCGGAGACUGAGACGAGACCCGUGCUUCCGUGUGAGUUGGGCUGCAGGGCAUAAGUUAACACAUACUCCAAUAUGUACAAAACAACCUGCGCUUGGGCCUGUGCACCCAGGACGCCCGUGGCCAGGUGAGGCCACCUUGAGCCAGGCCUCUGGCUGGGUGUCCACCUCCUGCCAGCAGGCCAAGGUGCCCCAUGUGGCUUGUGCAAGACCCCAGGCUCCCCUGAACAUGCUCCUCCCAGGAGUGCACCCACCCCAGUGUCGAGUGUCCGAGCAGAUUCCCAUUGACCCUGACCUCCCUUUGAAAGAACCACACCACUGCAUCCCCUUGGCACUCACUUCCUUAGUGCGAUGCAUCCACCCAGGGAGGUGCCCCUGCGCCAGCACGCUGCCCACCCUACCCUGUUGACUGCCCUGUCCUUGGACCCCAAAGUAAAAUGGGGCCAGCGUAGGAGGCCUGAGGGUGGGGCCAUAUGCCACACCUCCAGGGGUAGCAGCCUCAUCUGACCACACCUUCGCCUUCUUGUGCUGCAGAAGGCGCUUGCUCCCAAGCCCGUGGUGACUCACAUCUCUACCCCACAGUGGGGCAGCUGCGGUGGCUGAGUGAAAGCUGGGGCAGGAGAAAGGGCCCCUGCCAACCCCAGCCAGGCGGCUUGCAGAGCCCACUGCCCUGCAUCGGAGUCAGCCUGCGGCCUGAGCACACCCGUCUGCCCUCUGGGGGACCCAGGGCGCCUGUGGGGGCCCUCCUAGAGACACCAGCCUGGCCUCCUAGGGCAUAAGGGGUGGGGAUAGGGCACAGGGCACGUGCUUACAGCGGAUAUGCAACAUGGCUUUUACUAGGGCCACUGCAGCCAGUGGGGAACCCUGCGGGGCUGCUGGGAACAGAGCUUGGCCAGCCUUUUGCCAGGGGGUGGGCAGCUCGGGGAAACGCAAGGAGAGCCAGGGUGGGGAGGGCUGAGUACCUGGUGUCAGGGAGGCCACCUACAGCUGUUUUGUCAAGGCUAGUUGAGAAUCUGAACGCUCAAGUCCCCAUUCCUGGCCAUCCAGAGCCACUGUGGUCCGAGGGUAUGGCUCCUGGGCAGGGGCUACGGUCCCACGCUCCAGCCCAUGGAGGCCUGAUGAACUUAAUCCACACGCUGGUGGCAGCAGUGGUAUUUGAGCUCUUGAGUACGUGUCUUGGUGAUGGGGCUGGGGCAGCCUGCUAGCAAAUCCCAGUGGGUCAGAAAGGACAGAGGCAGGGGAGUGCUCGGUCCCCAGCCCUUCCAGUCUGAGCCAGGUCUGCCUGGGUGGUCACCUCCAAAGGCCAGCCAGGGACUCAGGCACAAGUGGCAGCAUCUCCGGUCAAAGCCUCCCCACUCCUGGGCUGCCAGUCGGCCCACGGAAGGCCGGCAAUGCAGCUUGGGCCCACUCCCCAAACCCCUCCUUGGUCUGAGGACUGUGGGAAGAGGGUGGGGCCUGAACAUCAGCUUUGGCCUCCUGACCCAAAGCAUGAAGCAGGACCAUGGACCAGAGUGGAGUGGGCUUCCUGGGGGCUGGACUCGAGUCUUCUCUGCCUCAGAUGGGGUGGGCCCUGACCUUGAGGGAGCUACACAUGGGUGAGCUGGGGGCUCCCCAGGCCUUGGGGCAUCGGGGGCAGCCAGAAGGGGAGGGCCUAUGGGAUGGCCUGGAGCUGGGGCAGUUGCCAGAAGCUGGUCUCACUCCUAGUAGCCUGGACAGAGGAGCUAAGAGCGAGUGCCGUGUGCAUAGCUGGUGAGGGACACACUCCUGGCCUGGCAGGUCCACUUUCUGCUGUCCUUGUCUCUUGUGCAAACCUUCAGUUUUCGUGAUAAAUCCAAGGGGGCCAGGAGAGCAGGCACAACCCCUGCUCUGGAGGCCCUGCCCUGCCCAUGGCAUCCUCCGAGCAUGCUUUCCUCUGACCCACUGGCUGCACCUGUCGGUUCCUCAAGCCCCCAUCCCCGCCCAGCCCCACUAUGUCCCUGUUCUGUUUAUUUUCAGGACGCAGCUAUCUCUGUGGAGCAGGUGUGGGACAGUCUCCCCGUGACAGUCUUGGGUGGACCUGUUGUCUGUCCUGUUUUAACCCCCACACCCCCCAAGAGGCCUCCCCGUGGCCACCACCGCCACUACCACUUCUCAAUGAUGUGGCUCAUGUAGUCCUCGGUGGGCACGCGGCCCGCCUGUCAGCCCUCUCCCACAGCCUUGUCUGGUGCAGGAGGCCUCGCGGCUCCUCAGGCGCUGCUCCCUGCGCUCCAGCUGCCGCUUGUACUGGUAGCGCUGCUGGAAGAGGUCCUUGGCGUAGUCAUACAGCUGCAUGUCCAGGUCGUUGAGCUCCUCGAUGCGCCGGAUGGUGUCCUCGUCCACC
ensembl:lncRNA